UCAUUAUAAUGUAAAAAACAGUAAAACAAGUGCUAAUAACGUUCUUCUUAUUGUUGCAAAACAUGCAAGAAAUGAUGCUGUGCUCAAGUAUAUAUUCGACAAUAUAAGAUUGUUCGAAUUCAGUAUAAACAAGCAAAUUGAUCACAUUGCCAUAUUAAUCGUUAUUAUUACGCACGAACAUUCUGUAGAACAAUUCGAAAAGAUAACUGAAUUUGCGGAAGGUCUUAGUGAAAAGCGACUAAUUGAUGCAGUUAAACAAAAAAUAAAGAAACGAAAAUUGGAAUGUGAAAAAACGAGUCACAUACUACGAGCGCAUCGAGGUACCUUCCUAUAUAGAAAGAAAGAAUUAAGCAAACAAUUGAAUCCAUGAAAGACAAUUG